CAACUCUUUAGUUUACCUGUGGAGACACAAACAGAACUUUGCCUACAAACCCUCAGAGGAACAUAGCAAAUAUGGCAGAAUUCAUGAUUCUGAUGAAAAGUUUUUACUAAUUUAUGGUUUCUUUCUUCUUUUUUUAAAUUUUAACUUGCGCUUUGACUCAUUUUCAGA